AUACGGAGGGUGCAAGCGUUACUCGGAAUCACUGGGCGUAAAGCGCGCGCAGGCGGUCUUUUAAGUUGGAUGUGAAAGCCUACAGCUCAACUGUAGAACUGCAUCCAAAACUAUUAGACUAGAGUCUGGGAGGGGAAGAUGGAAUUAGUUGUGUAGGGGUAAAAUCCGUAGAGAUAACUAGGAAUACCAAAAGCGAAGGCGAUCUUCUGGAGCAGUACUGACGCUGAGGCGCGAAAGCGUGGGGAGCAAACAGGAUUAGAAACCCUAGUAGUCC
rnacentral:rRNA from 1 species